UCCUAGCCCCGAUUGCAACGACAUCCUUUUGUGUAGCGAAGCGUAACAAAAGAUACAGUGAAAAGCGGGAUUAAGC
rfam:Chryseobacterium sp. IHB B 10212 strain IHBB 10212, complete genome.